rnacentral:rRNA from 1 species
CAGCCGCCACGGGAAUACCAGCAGCCCAAGUGGUGGUCGCGUUUAUUGGGCCUAAAGCGCUCGUAGCCUGGCCGGUAAGUUCCCCGUGAAAUCGGGUCGCCCAACGAUUCGGCUUGCGGGGAAUACUGUCGGUCUUGGGGCCGGGAGACGCCGAGGGUACUCCGGGGGUAGCGGUGAAAUGCUGUAAUCCUCGGGGGACUACCAGUGGCGAAGGCGCUCGGCGAUAACGGGCCUGACGGUGAGGGGCGAAAGCUGGGGGCGCGAACGGGAUUAGAUACCCGCGUAGUCCCUGUCUCUUAUA